UCCAAGCAUCCUACCCAACAUUCUCUUCCUUCCCUCAUGGACUCUGACAGUUCUGUCCCAACUCCAAAUUCUACUCCUUCACAAGUCACACAGGGCACUUUCUGCUGCAAAUGGCACACAACCUGUCCACACUAGCUUAAACCAACAACAACAGCAAAAAUCAGAAACAAAAAGCUUGGGGCAUGUCAGCUUCAGGCCGGGAAAUUGGCCCCAGACUCUCCUCAGCUGUAGGUCUCAGCUUUUCUUUCUCUCAAGACUACUACCUUUUCAGGACCACAGGAGGUUCCAGCAGAUUCAGGCUCCCAAACCUUUCUCUGCCAACUCCUCAGCAACUGCCUGUAUCUAUGAGCAGAGGAGAGAUCAAAACUGAAUCCAGAUGACAUCAUUGGCAUUCACUAUUUACACUUUGUGAUCCAUCUAGAAGCGAACUCAUGGGGUUCCUAGCCACUCCACAAGCUACCAAAGGGCCUCAGCAGACCCUGGCCCAUCACUCUGGAGAGCAGUCCUGUAAGUCAAAGUUCCAGUGUUGAUGCAUGUUUGGAAACCAUUGCUUCCCAACAUAGCGAAGGCUCAACAUCAUGAACAGUAACAGCAGAUACUAAUAGAGGUGCCUUCAUUCUCAGUAUGCCAGAAGGAGAUGCUGGGU